UACAGAGGUCCCAAGCGUUGUUCGGAUUUACUGGGCGUAAAGGGUGCGUAGGUGGCGGGGUAAGUCUGGUGUGAAAGCUCCGAGCUCAACUCGGAAAAGCAUUGGAAACUAUCCCGCUUGAGGGUCGGAGGGGAGACUGGAAUUCUCGGUGUAGCAGUGAAAUGCGUAGAUAUCGAGAGGAACACCAGUGGCGAAGGCGGGUCUCUGGGCCGAUACUGACGCUGAGGAGCGAAAGCAUGGGUAGCGAACAGG
rnacentral:rRNA from 1 species